rnacentral:tRNA from 1 species
GUUACUUCGGUAGAACGUUUGAUUGGUAAUCAAAAGGACGUGGGUUCAAUUCCCAC